GAUGAACGCUAGCGGCAGGCCUAAUACAUGCAAGUCGAGGGGUAGAGGAGAGCUUGCUUUCCUUGAGACCGGCGCACGGGUGCGUAACGCGUAUGCAACCUACCCUUUUCUGGGGGAUAGCCCGAAGAAAUUCGGAUUAAUACCGCAUAAGACCACGCUAUGGCAUCAUAGAGGGGUCAAACAUUUAUGGGAGAAGGAUGGGCAUGCGUGCCAUUAGCUAGUUGGCGGGGUAACGGCCCACCAAGGCGACGAUGGCUAGGGGAUCUGAGAGGAUGGCCCCCCACACUGGUACUGAGACACGGACCAGACUCCUACGGGAGGCAGCAGUAAGGAAUAUUGGUCAAUGGAGGCAACUCUGAACCAGCCAUGCCGCGUGCAGGAAGACGGCCCUCUGGGUUGUAAACUGCUUUUAUCCGGGAAUAAACCUAUCUACGUGUAGAUAGCUGAAUGUACCGGAGGAAUAAGGACCGGCUAACUCCGUGCCAGCCGCCGCAGUAAUAC
rnacentral:rRNA from 1 species